rnacentral:rRNA from 1 species
CCUACGGGAGGCUGCAGUCGAGGAUCUUUCGCAAUGGGCGCAAGCCUGACGAAGCGACGCUGCGUGAGCGAUGAAGGCCUUCGGGUCGUAAAGCUCUUUCGCGCAAGAACGGGUACUGCGUAAAGAAGCACCGGCUAACUCCGUGCCAGCAGCUGCGGUAAUACGGAGAGUGCAAGCAUUAAUCGGAAUUAUUGGGCGUAAAGGGCGCGUAGGCGGGAAUGUAAGUCAGAUGUGAAAUACUGAAGCUCAACUUCAGUGCUGCAUUUGAAACUGCGUUUCUUGAGGGUUGACGGAGAAAACGGAAUUCCACGUGUAGCGGUGAAAUGCGUAGAUAUGUGGAAGAACACCGGUGGCGAAAGCGGUUUUCUAGUAUACCUGACGCUGAGGCGCGAGAGCAAGGGGAGCAAACAGGAUUAGAUACCCUUGUAGUC